CCUACGGGAGGCAGCAGUGGGGAAUUGUUCACAAUGGGCGCAAGCCUGAUGACGCAACGCCGCGUGGAGGAUGAAGGUCUUCGGAUUGUAAACUCCUGUUGCCCGGGACGAAAAGCUCUGACCUAACACGUCGGAGUCUGACGGUACCGGGUGAGGAAGCCCCGGCUAACUCUGUGCCAGCAGCCGCGGUAAUACAGAGGGGGCAAGCGUUGUUCGGAAUUACUGGGCGUAAAGGGCGCGUAGGCGGCCUGUUAAGUCGAACGUGAAAUCCCCGGGCUCAACCCGGGAACUGCGUCCGAAACUGGUAGGCUUGAAUCCGGGAGAGGGAUGUGGAAUUCCAGGUGUAGCGGUGAAAUGCGUAGAUAUCUGGAGGAACAUCGGUGGCGAAGGCGACAUCCUGGACCGGUAUUGACGCUGAGGCGCGGAAGCCAGGGGAGCAAACGGGAUUAGAUACCCUGGUAGUCCACGCCCUAAACGAUGUCAACUGGUUGUUGGGUCUUAACUGACUCAGUAACGAAGCUAACGCGUGAAGUUGACCGCCUGGGGAGUACGGCCGCAAGGUUAAAACUCAAAGGAAUUGACGG
rnacentral:rRNA from 1 species